rnacentral:lncRNA from 1 species
CACACCAGGGCCUCUUCACCCCCAGAGCCCUGGGGUGCUGCUCCUGACCUACCAGCACAGGCCUGGGCACCCUCACCCCACUCCGCCCCUCCUUCCAUCUCCUCACUCUGCCCUCCCCUCCUUCCAUCUCCACCUCCGCCUCCACCACGUCCUUGAUCUGUGUCUGGGCUGGGAAGAGUGAGAGCAGCUACCCCAACGACAUGAGACCCUUCCCUGGGGCCCCAACGUGUGUGCUGCUCUUCCCUUCCCUGAGGCCCCGACGUGUGUGCUGAGCUCCCCUUCCCUGGGGCCCCGAAGUGUGUGCUGCUCUCCCCUUCCCUGAGGCCCCGACGUGUGUGCUGCUCUCCCCUUCCCUGAGGCCCCGACAUGUGUGCUGCUCUCCCCUUCCCUGAGGCCCCGACGCGUGUGCUGC